rnacentral:misc_RNA from 1 species
GAUGAAGAACGUAGCGAAAUGCGAUACUUGGUGUGAAUUGCAGAAUCCCAUGAACCAUCGAGUCUUUGAACGCAAGUUGCGCCCGAAGCCAUUAGGCCGAGGGCACGCCUGCCUGGGCGUCACACGUCGUUGCCCCCCCAUCUACUCCUUCGGGAUUGCGGGGGGCGGAUGAUGGCCUCCCGUGCGCCUCGUCGCGCGGUUGGCAUAAAUGCCAAGUCCUCGGCGACGCACGCCACGACAAUCGGUGGUUGCGAAACCUCGGUUGCCCGUCGUGUGCGGUCGUCGCGCAUCGAGGGCUCGAAAAAAUUGCCGGGCUCCGGCUCGGCUUUCAACGCGACCCCAGGUCAGGCGGGGUUACCCGCUGAAUUUAAGCAUAUCAAUAAGCGAAGGA